AAGUCGUAACAAGGUUUCCGUAGGUGAACCUGCGGAAGGAUCAUUAACACGUAUCCACGUACCCACCUUUGUGCACUCGUUCUCUCUCCCUGAUGGCUUCACAUGCAUUGGUAAAACAUGGCGGCGUUGAAAUGGGAUUCCUUCGGGGAUCGGCGCUGCGUGUAUACUUGUUGCGUUCGCGCAGCAGACGAUGGAAGUGACCAUUCAGGCAAACGGCUCUACAUGAUUCAUCGCCAUUUUGGUGAAUGCAGUAGGGCUCCUCAUAUUAACUAAUUUCACCCCCUUUUUGCUAGUUGACUUUUUUAAUGUUGUAGUAUUGUUGCUAUUAAUUUAGCUGCUUUGCUUCACACGUUUCUUAAUUGAACGAAAAAUACAACUCUUAGCAAUGGAUAUCUAGGUUCUC
rnacentral:misc_RNA from 1 species